rnacentral:rRNA from 1 species
UACGUAGGGUGCAAGCGUUGUCCGGAAUUAUUGGGCGUAAAGAGCUCGUAGGCGGUUUGUCGCGUCGAAUGUGAAAACCCGGGGCUCAACCCCGGGCCUGCAUUCGAUACGGGCAGACUAGAGUUCGGUAGGGGAGACUGGAAUUCCUGGUGUAGCGGUGGAAUGCGCAGAUAUCAGGAGGAACACCGAUGGCGAAGGCAGAUCUCUGGGCCGUAACUGACGCUGAGGAGCGAAAGCGUGGGGAGCGAACAGG